rnacentral:rRNA from 1 species
CCCUACGGGGCGCAGCAGUGGGGGAUAUUGCACAAUGGGGGGAACCCUGAUGCAGCGACGCCGCGUGGGUGAAGAAGCGCCUCGGCGCGUAAAGCCCUGUCAGCAGGGAAGAAAAUGACGGUACCUGACUAAGAAGCCCCGGCUAACUACGUGCCAGCAGCCGCGGUAAUACGUAGGGGGCAAGCGUUAUCCGGAUUUACUGGGUGUAAAGGGAGCGUAGACGGCAUAGCAAGUCUGAAGUGAAAGCCCGUGGCUCAACCGCG